rnacentral:rRNA from 1 species
UGGGGCCCAGAUCGUUUACCGUGAAAAAAUUAGAGUGUUCAAAGCGGGCAGAUAUUUUUCCUGCCACCGAAUACAUUAGCAUGGGAUAAUGGAAUAGGACCCUGACCUCCUAUUUUCAGUUGGUUUUGUUUACAGCGAGGUUAUAUCAGGGUAAUGAUUAAUAGGGAUAGUUGGGGGCAUUAAUAUUUAAUUGUCAGAGGUGAAAUUCUUGGAUUUAUGAAAGAUUAACUUCUGCGAAAGCGUUUGCCAAGGAUGUUUUCAUUAAUCAAGAACGAAAGUUAGGGGAUCGAAGACGAUCAGAUACCGUCGUAGUCUUAACCAUAAACGAUGCCGACCAGCGAUUAGGAGACGUUGAAUACAAAACACCG